UACGUAGGGCGCAAGCGUUGUCCGGAAUUAUUGGGCGUAAAGAGCUCGUAGGCGGCUUGUCGCGUCUGUUGUGAAAGCCCGGGGCUUAACCCCGGGUCUGCAGUGGAUACGGGCAGGCUAGAGGCAGGUAGGGGAGAACGGAAUUCCCGGUGUAGCGGUGAAAUGCGCAGAGAUCGGGAGGAACACCCGUAGCGAAGGCGGCACUCUGGGCCGGUACUGACGCUGAGGAGCGAAAGCGUGGGGAGCGAACAGG
rnacentral:rRNA from 1 species